GCAUCUGAUGACAUUACACCUAACUCAGCAAUGAACUUCUUAAACCAGAAGGUUUCCACUGCACCCUUAGAUACGGCUUAACAUUCAGCUUCUAAGGUAGAAUCUACAAUAAUUGGUUGUUUGGAAUCUUCUAAUUUACUGAACCAUCAUUGCAUAUAAUCUGAUUUAGACUUUCUAUCAUCAAUAUGUGUGCAUCCUUCUACCUUCAACUCUGAUCUUCUUCCAAAGACCAAGAACAUGUCCGUAGUUCUUCUCAAGUACUUAAGACUGUUCU
rnacentral:lncRNA from 1 species